rnacentral:rRNA from 1 species
UAGGGAAUCUUCGGCAAUGGGGGCAACCCUGACCGAGCAACGCCGCGUGAGUGAAGAAGGUUUUCGGAUCGUAAAGCUCUGUUGUUGGUGAAGAACACGAGUGAGAGUAACUGUUCAUUCGAUGACGGUAUCUAACCAGCAAGUCACGGCUAACUACGUGCCAG